rnacentral:rRNA from 1 species
UACGUAGGGGGCAAGCGGUUGUCCGGAUUUAUUGGGCGUAAAGAGCGUGUAGGCGGCUAUACAGGUCCGCUGUGAAAACUCGAGGCUCAACCUCGAGACGUCGGUGGAAACCGUAUGGCUAGAGUCCGGAAGAGGAGAGUGGAAUUCCUGGUGUAGCGGUGAAAUGCGCAGAUAUCGAGGAGAACACCGUAGGCGGCAAGGCGGUCUCUGGGCCGAACUGACGCUGGAGGAGCGAAAGCGUGGGGAGCGAACAGG